UGAGUACGAGAUGCUUCGGCGUCGAAGCAGUCUAGGUCAUACUUCCAAGAAAAGCUUGCACUGUCAUAAACAAAGAAUGCCUGUACCAUAACCGACACAGGUGGGUAGGUAGAGUAUACUAAGGGGCGCGAGAUAACUCUCUCUAAGGAACUCGGCAAAAUGACUCCGUAACUUCGGGAGAAGGAGUGCCUUAUUUUUAAGGUUGCAAUAACAAGAUCCAAGCAACUGUUUACCAAAAACACAGGUCUCCGCUAAGUCGUAAGACGAUGUAUGGGGGCUGACGCCUGCCCAGUGCCAGAAGGUUAAAGAAGUUGGUUAGCAUUUGCGAAGCUGAUAACUGAAGCCCUGGUGAACGGCGGCCGUAACAAUAACGGUCCUAAGGUAGCGAAAUUCCUUGUCGGGUAAGUUCCGACCCGCACGAAAGGCGUAAUGAUUUGGAUACUGUCUCGGAGAGGGGCUCGGUGAAAUAGACUUGUCUGUGAAGAUGCGGACUACCUGCACCUGGACAGAAAGACCCUAUGAAGCUUUACUGUAACUUGAGAUUGAAAUUGGACUUUAUUUGCGCAGUAUAGGUGGGAGGCGUUGAGAAUAAUCUUGCGGGAUUAUCGGAGCCAUCAGUGAGAUACCACUCUUGUAAUGUUAGAUUUCUAACUUUGUAUCAUUAUCUGGUCAAAGAACAGUUUCAGGCGGGCAGUUUGACUGGGGCGGUCGCCUCCCAAAGGGUAACGGAGGCGCACAAAGGUUUCCUCUGAACGGGUAGAAAUCGUAUCUAGAGUGUAAAGGCAUAAGGAAGCUUGACUGUGAGACCUACAAGUCGAGCAGGGACGAAAGUCGGUCUUAGUGAUCUGACGGUGCUGAGUGGAAAGGCCGUCACUCAACGGAUAAAAGUUACUCUAGGAUAACAGGCUGAUCUCCCCCAAGAGUUCACAUCGACGGGGAGGUUUGGCACCUCGAUGUCGGCUCAUCGCAUCCUGGGGCGGUAGUACGUCCCAAGGGUUGGGCUGUUCGCCCAUGAAAGCGGUACGCGAGCUGGGUUCAGAACGUCGUGAGACAGUUCGGUCCAUAUCCGGUGUAGGCGUUAGAAUAUUGAAAGGAGCCUUCUCUAGUACGAGAGGACCGAGAAGGACAUACCUCUGGUGUGCCAGUUAUCGUGCCAACGGUAAACGCUGGGUAGCUAUGUAUGGAGUGGAUAACCGCUGAAAGCAUCUAAGUGGGAAGCCCACCUUAAGAUAAGUAUUCUCAC
rnacentral:rRNA from 1 species